rnacentral:lncRNA from 1 species
AUAUCAUAAAAUUUCAUAUAUAGUUUCUUAGUAUAGUCAUCUACACUUAUAGAAAUUUUGAGCCAAAAAUUCAUCCAAAAAUUCAAGAUAUGUUCCAAACCAAAAUCUCUAUGAAAAAAACUCACUUACAAACUCUAGUUUUCAAGCACCGACUUCCAACAACUCUUUCUCCUUCAUUCCAAAUUAGAAUUUAUCAAUUCUUUUGCAUAAAAUGUAGUUCUUCAAGUCAACUUUUAAACAUCACUUUUUGAUCUCCAAAAGCUCUCACUCAAUUCCUUGUAUUUACAAAAAUAGU